GACAGAGGUGCCAAGCGUUAGGCGGAAUCACUGGGCUUAAAGCGUGUGUAGGUGGAUUUGUAAGUACCUUGUGAAAUCCCGUGGCUCAACCAUGGAACUGCUCGGUAUACUGCGAAUCUUGAGCCACUUAGGGGCUACCGGAACAAAUGGUGGAGCGGUGAAAUGCGUAGAUAUCAUUUGGAACGCCAAUGGUGAAAACAGGUAGCUGGGAGUGUGCUGACACUGAGACACGAAAGCCAGGGGAGCGAACGGG
rnacentral:rRNA from 1 species